CGUUCCGCGAAAUGGUUCAUUUGAUAGGUUGUCGAUAGGACGAAUCCUCCCCAACACAUUACAAUGUCAAUCAUCACCCACGCGGCUCGAAUCCUUUCCGCUUAUUUUCUGAGAAAACAAUACUUACAGGAAGCAGGGGAAAAAAAGAAAUCUACUCUAAUGGAAGAAGAAAAUCUAUACGAUCAUGCGAGAGACUCCCUGUAAACUCUCUUCUGAGAUUUUGCUGCGUCUGCAAACAAUGGUGCUCCUAAACUUCUGAUACCGACUUCAUUGAAGAACAUUACGAGAGCUCUAUGGCUAGGACUCCCAAAAUUUCGAGCGGAAGUAAAACUAUACGGUUGUGAGGAUGCAGCUUGUGAAAUCAAGAAUUCCGUCAUUCAGAUAGAGCAUCAAGCUGCAAUAUGGAAGGCAGGCUAUCAAAUUUUGUCAAUGGAUUGGCUUGCGGAUAUGACAAGAUCAAUGUAGGUGAAUGCCGCUUAAUAAAUCCCUCUACUUGCUCAGUUUUAAAACUCGAUCCCCAGCUCCCCUCGAAAAGUUUCGAAACUUGACAAUGCAUGUUGGAUUCGGGUUCGACACCUUCACAGGAGAACACGAGGUAGUCAGGCUUAAUUGCUCAUGGUAGUCUGGAGUCUUGUGAAUGUGAAAUCCUCACGGUGGGAACUCAUGAAUGAAGAUUUAUCGAAGAAUUAAUAUACUUUCGAUGUGCCACCUACGAAACCAGUUUACUCACAAGGGUCUCUCUAUUGGAACGUAGGCUUGCUAAAUGAAGACGGAGAAUACUGCAUGGCUAUCUAUAGGUUCGAAGUUAAACAUGAGAAGUUUGAAGUUAUACCCUUCAUACCCGAACUUAGUAUGAGUUGCAAUAUAUAUGAGUGAAGAGGGCGUGUCUGCAUCGUGACGAUGAGACCACAGAUGAAGAUAUGGAUGCUUGAGGAUAACGAGGAAUGGAUCGAGAUGUUUAGCGUCUGUGCGAUAAAUUUCUCAAUCAGAGACAACUCAGGUCCAAUGAGAAUACCCGAUAUUGUUGUGACAUCUUUGGGAUAAACUAAUAUCAAUCGCACGAAAGCGCAUAAAAAAUCAAGAACACAAAACACACGGAUAUACAUGUUCGA